rnacentral:rRNA from 1 species
CUCCGAAUGCCAGGGUGUGAGAGCGCGGCAGUGAGACUGCGGGGGAUAAGCUUCGUAGUCGAGAGGGAAACAGCCCAGAUCGCCGGCUAAGGCCCCUAAGCGUGUACUAAGUGGAAAAGGAUGUGGAGUCGCGAAGACAACCAGGAGGUUGGCUUAGAAGCAGCCACCCUUGAAAGAGUGCGUAAUAGCUCACUGGUCAAGUGAUUCUGCGCCGACAAUGUAGCGGGGCUCAAGUACACCGCCGAAGCCGCGGCAUUCACAUAAGCCCGCCUUCCCCUCAUGGGGGGUUGGCCAGGUGUGUGGAUGGGUAGGGGAGCGUCGUGCAGCCGUGGAAGCAGCGGGGUGANAGAAACUCUUCCGCCGAAUGACCAAGGGUUCCUGGGCCAGGUUAAUCCGCCCAGGGUGAGUCGGGACCUAAGGCGAGGCCGACAGGCGUAGUCGAUGGACAACGGGUUGAUAUUCCCGUACCCGUGUGAACGCGCCCCUGAUGAAUCAGGAGUACUAACCGUCCAAAUGGCUUGUGGGUUCCUUCGGGUUCCUGUUGGCCGGCUGCACGGGACCUUUCCUGGUAGUAGUCAAGCGAUGGGGUGACGCAGGAAGGUAGCUGGGCCCGGUGGUGGAUUACCGGGUGUAAGCCUGUAGGGCG